UACGUAGGGUGCAGGCGUUAAUCGGAAUUACUGGGCGUAAAGCGUGCGCAGGCGGUGAUGUAAGACAGUUGUGAAAUCCCCGGGCUCAACCUGGGAAUUGCAUCUGUGACUGCAUCGCUAGAGUACGGUAGAGGGGGAUGGAAUUCCGCGUGUAGCAGUGAAAUGCGUAGAUAUGCGGAGGAACACCGAUGGCGAAGGCAAUCCCCUGGACCUGUACUGACGCUCAUGCACGAAAGCGUGGGGAGCAAACAGG
rnacentral:rRNA from 1 species